ensembl:lncRNA
UUUUCUGUCACGCCAUCUUUACGUCACCUGAUCUCUAUAAAUGGAUGAGGACUGAGAGGAUUUGCAGUGAGGCAGCCACAUCUGUACAGAAGAAGCAGAGCAUAGAAAAUACUUAACAGAUGAACAGCAGAUGAGAUGGAAAUGGAAAACCAAGAUAACACUGAAGAAGCAGGAGAAGACUCUGCAAUCAAAUCUGUAACACCAUCUGUGAAUUAUUGCAAAGGCAAAUGUCCUCUCUGUUUUGCAAAAUGUUCCACUGUCUUCUCUAACUUUCCAGUAAAAGAGGAACGUUCACCUAAAGCCAAGUCUGAGUCACUGAAUAAACCUGGUGAAGCUGAACAAGUGGAGCAAAACAAAGUGUUUGAAGUAACAUCUACCACCAUGUUAUCUACCAUCCUCAAGAAAGCAAAUGAAGAGGAGAAGUGUGCAGCUAAAACAGAGUUUGGUAAAGUGAAUGAACCUGAUCACUCACAUAAGAAUGAUGACAGCACAACAGUAGGAGCAGAUGAAGUGAAGGAGAGUUCAGCUACAACACAGCAAGCCACAAUGGAGCCAGGGGUUGUUCCAGAGAAUGUAGACGAGUUGGGAGAAGAGGAGUUCAGGACCUUAAAAUUCUAUCUGAAGGAAACUGACAUCAUCAAAGGAAAUAAAGGCAUCCCACAGAGUCAUUUGGAGGCAAACCGCAUGGACACAAUGCAACUCAUGACAUGUGUCUAUAAAGCCAAUGAAGUUCCAGUGAUAACAAAAGAAGAUUUGAUGAGGAUCAACAGAAUUGAACUAGUCCUGGUCUACGGUUCAGAACUAACAGCAGAUGAAGUGAAAGAGAGUUCAGCUACAACACAGCAAGCCACAAUGGAGCCAGGGGUUGUUCCAGAGAAUGUAGACGAGUUGGGAGAAGAGGAGUUCAGGACCUUAAAAUUCUAUCUGAAGGAAACUGACACCAUCAAAGGAAAUAAAGGCAUCCCACAGAGUGAUUUGGAGGCAAACCGCAUGGACACAAUGCAACUCAUGACACGUGUCUAUAAAGCCAAUGAAGUUCCAGUGAUAACAAAAGAAGAUUUGAUGAGGAUCAACAGAAUUGAACUAGUCCUGGUCUACGGUUCAGAACUAACAGCAGAUGAAGUGAAGGAGAGUUCAGCUACAACACAG